rnacentral:rRNA from 1 species
CCUACGGGAGGCAGCAGUGGGGAAUAUUGGGCAAUGGGCGCAAGCCUGACCCAGCAACGCCGCGUGAAGGAAGAAGGCUUUCGGGUUGUAAACUUCUUUUAUGAGGGACGAAAGAAAUGACGGUACCUCAUGAAUAAACCACGGCUAACUACGUGCCAGCAGCCGCGGUAAUACGUAGGCGGCAAGCGUUAUCCGGAUUUACUGGGUGUAAAGGGCGUGUAGGCGGGACUGUAAGUCAGAUGGGAAAAUUAUGGGCUCAACCCAUAAACUGGAUUUGAAACUGUAGUUCUUGAGUGCUGGAGAGGUAGGCGGAAUUCCGUGUGUAGCGGUGAAAUGCGUAGAUAUACGGAGGAACACCAGUGGCGAAGGCAGCCUACUGGACAUUAACUGACGCUGAGGCGCGAAAGCGUGGGGAGCAAACGGGAUUAGAUACCCCAGUAGUC